AGGUGGUUAUAGCACGAGGGUUCCACCUCUUCCCAUUCCGAACAGAGAAGUUAAGCCUCGUCACGCCGAUGGUACUGCGUAACAGUGGGAGAGUAGGUAGCCGCCGUUUU
rnacentral:rRNA from 21 species